CAAACUUCUCAGCCUUUUGGCUAAGAUCAAGUGUAGUAUCUCUUCUUAUCAAUAUGAUAAUCAGAAUGAUUAAGGGACUAGAACAUAUUCCAAAUGAGAAAGUUUAAGGCACUAGAAUCUCCCCUCCCAUUAAAGAAGAUUUAAAAGAAGGUUAUUACAUUUCCGCCUUGAUUUUUUCUUUC